CCCCCCCCCCCCCCCCCCCCCCCCCCCCCCCCCCCCCCCCCCCCCCCCCCCCCCCCCCCCCCCCCCCCCCCUAGGAGCGGCGGUGGCGCGACAGAAGGGACGGCUCUCCGGCCGGCCGGCCGCGACCCCCGCCCGCCGCGAUGGCCAGCGAGGUGGUGUGCGGGCUCACCUUCCGCCUGCUCCUGCCCGUGUGCUUGACUGCCGCCUGUGCUUUCCGUUACAAUGGGCUCUCCUUUGUCUACCUCAUCUACCUCCUGCUCAUUCCUCUGUUUUCAGAACCCACAAAGGCAACGAUGCAAGGGCAUACAGGACGAUUAUUGAAAUCUCUGUGUUUCACCAGUCUAUCAUUUCUGCUGCUGCACAUCAUCUUUCAGAUUACAAUAAACAGUCUUGAAGCUGCAAAAACUAUUGAACCUGGUUUUAACUGUUCUACAUGGGAGAAAACAUUACGGCAG
rnacentral:lncRNA from 12 species